GGCCUAGUGGUGUAGUGGUUACAUGCCCUCUCUUGAUAGUAGUACAUAGGCUAGGUUCUGAGGGAGCCCCUUGUUUGAAUCAAGGCUAGGCCA